rnacentral:rRNA from 1 species
GAUGAACGCUGGCGGCGUGCUUAACACAUGCAAGUCGAACGAAGCACUUUAAAACAAUCUUUCGGGUGCGUUUUAUUGUGACUUAGUGGCGGACGGGUGAGUAACGCGUGGGUAACCUGCCUCAUGCAGGGGGAUAACAGUUAGAAAUGACUGCUAAUACCGCAUAAGCGCACAGUGCCGCAUGGUACAGUGUGAAAAGAUUUAUCAGCAUGAGAUGGACCCGCGUCUGAUUAGCUAGUUGGUGAGGUAACGGCUCACCAAGGCGACGAUCAGUGGCCGACUUGAGAGAGUGAUCGGCCACAUUGGGACUGAGACACGGCCCAAACUCCUACGGGAGGCAGCAGUGGGGAAUAUUGCACAAUGGGGGAAACCCUGAUGCAGCGACGCCGCGUGAGCGAUGAAGUAUUUCGGUAUGUAAAGCUCUAUCAGCAAGGAAGAUAAUGGCGGUACUUGACUAAGAAGCCCCGGCUAACUACGUGCCAGCCGCCGCAGUAACAC